CACCUGCUUAGGCCGAGGUACCCCAGGGUGCCCAGGAGAAGGACGCUCACGAAGCUCCCCAGAGACACGAGGACGACGGACAACUCGGAAACCUGAGCUUCUGCGGGUGAGGGCGGCCCUGGACCCAGACCUCCCGCCCACGGAGCCUGAAGCCCUGGUCCUCUCGGGGUCGGAUUUCACUGCGAGGAUGACAGGCAGCGACGUUGGCAGGGAGAAGAUGAUUUGGUCUUCAAAUCUCUGAUGGCCACACACCUCAAGACAGCGGGACCCACAUCCUUAUCUUUGUGAUGGUGAAGGGAGUCAUCUAGACUUAUUCAUUCAUUCACUCAAUAAACAGCCCUCCUGCUCCUUCCUCCUCAGGACCCCCCAGCUGGGGGAGGCACAGGCCCCCCCACCCACUCCCAAGGACAUGCAUGCGCAAGGCCUCAGGAGUGUGAGAGAAGGUUCCAGAAGAGAAGCUGCAGGAGACAAGACCAGGGAAGGAGGAGGAAGAGG